AUUAUGGAAUUAGCUAACACGUCAUAGUGUACAAGUUUAUGGAAAAUUCCACGCACAUUCGGCACAAAGUGUGCUAACGGUAUCUGUUACUUUCGUCUUCUGCUGGUUUACUCACAGACAGUAACAAGGUUAUCAUCAUGAAGACACUACUACUAAUGAUUUUAGCUUGUGCUUUUAUUGCAGUCCAGGCAGCCAUCACUGGUCAUGCUACAUGUGAUAACAGCAUGCAGUUCUAUGCUGACGGUGUUCUAUAUACUAACAUUAACGACAACGAUUGGACCAAAUCAUCACCCAUCAGUAUUCCCGAUAAUACACGAGUUAUUGCCGUAAAAUGUGUGGAUUUGGGUGUAGUUGGUGGCAUCAAAUUGGCAUUGAGUAAUGGCAUCAGAACUGACACAACAUGGAAAUGUUCCGCUACACAUCAAUAUGGCUGGGAAACACCCCAGUUUGAUGACCGGUACUGGACAUACGCCGUAUCACCUCAUUUUAACUGGGGAUCACAACCUGCUGCUCUGAAUGGAAAAGCUGACUGGAUCUGGACAAACAUCUUUUGGGGACGGGAUACAACAGUUUAUUGUAGAAAGGUUAUCGGGAGAGGCAUCUCUGGUCAUGCUACAUGUGAUAAUAGGAUGCAAUUCUAUGCUGACGGUGUUCGGUAUACUCACACUAACGACAACGAUUGGACCAAAUCAUCACCCAUUGGUAUUCCCGAUAAUACACAAGUUAUUGCCGUAAAAUGUUUGGAUUACGGUUUAGUUGGUGGCAUUAAAUUGGCAUUGAGUAAUGGCAUGAAAACUGAUACAACAUGGAAAUGUUCAGCUACAUAUGAAUAUGGGUGGGAAACACCUGAGUUUGAUGACGGGGGCUGGCCAUAUGCCGUAUUGCCUGAUUUUGACUGGGGAUCGCAACCUGCUGCUCUGAAUGGAAAGGCUUACUGGAUCUGGACAACCGGAUAUUGGGGACAGGAUACAACAGUUUAUUGCAGAAAGGUUAUCGGGCAUCGACAGUAUGCAGUUGCUGCAACUCAUUCAUAACAAGUUGUAUUAUCUGAUUGCCUUGUAUUCGAAACCUAAGAAACACACUGGUAAACCUGACCCGAGCAUUAAAAAAUGGAAAUAUUAACAUUGAAUUAUAUCAACUUAAUAUGUUAGCAUUAUGUUAUGCUUUUAAGUAAAAUAAACCAAUUCUCGUACAGAA